rnacentral:piRNA from 1 species
GAGGAAGGCCAGUUCUUUUGCUUCUAC